rnacentral:rRNA from 1 species
GACGAACGCUGGCGGCGUGCCUAACACAUGCAAGUAGGACGCAGUUGCGAACGGGUGAGUAACGCGUCGGUAACUACCUAUUAGAGGGGGAUAACUAUUGGAAACGAUAGCUAAUACCGCAUACUAGUAGAUGGACCUGCGUUGUAUUAGCUAGUAGGUAGGGUAAUGGCCUACCUAGGCAACGAUACAUAGCCGAGCCGGGAGGGAGGUCGGCCACACUGGGACUGGGACACGGGCCAAGACCCCACGGGAGGCAGCAGGAGGGGAAUGUAGGAAAUGGGGGGAACCCCGAACGAGCCACGCCGCGGGAGUGGAGAAGGGUUUCGGAGCGUAAAGCGAUGUUGUUAAGGAAGCGGUACUUAACCAGAAAGGGACGGCUAACUACGUGCCAGCAGCCGCGGUAAUAC